GUUAUAUUCAAUAACACUGACUAUUUGGUCCUCUGGUCAGGUUGAAGCUGUGCCGGGAAUUAUGUGAAGUAACCAAACUCUAAAAACUAAUAACAGCAUAAUGGCAUAAACUGUCCCGCCUUAACAGAUGCCACACCCUUAGUGUAAUGGAGCUGUCAAUCAAGCACAGCAUGUACACACCCACACAGUCUUGAGAACAGCUCUGACAAGGUAAGUGAAAACACCUGUGUGGGUGGACAGUGAGCUCUUGUCUCUACAAGGCAAAGAGUACGAACAAGGCUGGGAAUCAUGGGAUUACUCAGGACACAGUACUGUGAAGAUAUUUUGCAAGUAAUGAGGACUGCAACACCAUACAGACUCUCCCUCUGCUACCUGUGCACUAAUUCAAGAGGACUGAGCAGCUCCUGACUGACAGGCAGUCAUUGAGGCAGAGGAGCAGACAUGCGUACUGCCUAAGCCAAGGCCAGAGACUGACAACUGCCUGCAUGUGACAACAGAGCUGCUGCAUGAAGAGUGUAAAGGCCAGAUGACGGGGGCCACAAUGGCUUCUGUUUGCCUCUUUAUUGUUACUGAAUUCUAAUCACAUCAAGUAUUGGUAUCCUAAGCUAACAUGAGUAAACAAACCUCUGGAAGAAGCAGAAUUUCUCAGAACAGUAAUCACACUAAUCCUUCCUCAUUACCACUUCUCCAUGCUGCAGCAUGAAUGUGAAGUUUCUAUCUCUCUGUGCGUGCAAAGUGAUUUGUUUUCCAUUUCCCUGUUGUAAUCUGUGGCCCUCGAGAGCUCUUUUCAGACAAAAACAGAUGGAGCUGACUGGCGUUAGGUGUAAACCAAUUAACAAAGCAGGAUUAGGUGGCGUGCCCAUGUUGUGACUUCUUGCCUCCUGAAUUUCACUGUAACUAUUUGAUAACAUACUUAUGGGCCUAUUUUAGAGACAUUCUGUAUGAAGGUAUGAAACUUUUCUUAUAGUUUCUCUAAAAUCCAUCAUUUUUUAAAACCGCUAGCAGGAUAUUUUGAUAGUCAAUGAUAGCAUUUUAUGGUACUUUCUGAAUUAUACUGAAACCAUGUAAACCUCCAUAUGUUAUCUUUGAAGGCAGCAUGAUGCACAAUGCAAGGUCACAACCUGGGCAACAGAAGAGGAGUCACGUGACACUGUAAGCCUGCAGCCUUGCUAAAUAUUUCUUUCAGCCUAGGAGACAUUCUCCUUUGGCUAACUUGUAAAUGUAAGAGCUCUUUUAGCAUAGAAAAGGGGAACAAAAUAAACUGGUCAUUAGUGAAUUCCUUAUAUAUCACAAUGCCAUCUUCUUACUCUUCUUGUGUCGGUAUGACAGAAAGGCUUCAGUUGGCCCAAACAUCAGCUUAAGGAUCCAGACUCAGCAGUGCUGCUAUUUAAAGAAUGCCUGAAAAGCCUGAGCGAAAUACUUUUAAUCACUCAGUAAUGGACCAGUCU